rnacentral:rRNA from 1 species
GAAGCCCUUCGGGGCGCAUAGACAGGUGGUGCAUGGUUGUCGUCAGCUCGUGUCGUGAGAUGUUGGGUUAAGUCCCGCAACGAGCGCAACCCUUACGAUUAGUUGCUACGCAAGAGCACUCUAAUAGGACUGCCGUUGACAAAACGGAGGAAGGUGGGGAUGACGUCAAAUCAUCAUGCCCCUUAUGACCUGGGCUACACACGUAAUACAAUGGCGUUAAACAGAGGGAAGCGAAACCGCGAGGUGGAGCGAAUCCUCAAAAGGCGUCUCAGUUCAGAUUGCAGGCUGCAACUCGCCUGCAUGAAGUCGGAAUUGCUAGUAAUCGCGGAUCAGCAUGCCGCGGUGAAUACGUUCCCGGGCCUUGUACACACCGCCCGUCACACCAUGGGAGUCGGUAACACCCGAAGUCAGUAGCCUAACCGCAAGGAGGGCGCUGCCGAAGGUGGGAUUGAUG